rnacentral:misc_RNA from 1 species
CAGAGUUGCAAGACUCCCUAAACCAUUGUGAACCUACCUUCUACCGUUGCUUCGGCGGGCGGGCCCAGCGCCCCCCCGGCCCCCCGCGGGCGCCCGCCGGAGGACACCCAAACUCUUGACAUUAGUGGCCUCUCUGAGUAUUCUUUACUGAAUAAGUCA